UUAGUUAUUUUAAUUUUAUUUUUUGAUGUUAAAAAUACACGAUGGAUACUUAAAUAUUGAUGUUUACCUUUUUUAUUUUGAUAUUUUAUGGUGUAGAUUAACCUAAGUUAAUAUAACAAUCAAAACAGUAGGGCAUGGAAUGGCAGAUCAACAUUGUUAAUUUUCGGAUAAACUUUCUGGAUUUUGCCAAGUGAAGAACUCCAAUGAUAUACAUGUAGGGGCAUGUGUCCAAAGCUGAUCCACAUCAUAACAUACUGAUUGGGAAUAAUGACAUAGUACCAAAAGAUGUGCUUAUACUGUAAUUAGCAGAUCUUCACAAAUGAACCUGGCAGAUCCUGGUGCAACCUUACCUUACCAUAUUUACAUCUAACCGUCAGUUUGAGCUGUGUGUGGGUGGUAACACGGACUAUAUACAUGUAUUGCCCAGUAAUUGUCUUGUGAUGGACC